AUUGCAGUAGGAGUGCAUGUUCGGACAGCUAUCGCGUAAUUUGUAAUCCAGUAGGAAAACCAUGAUGGACGUAUAGUGUUGCUGUAUAAUGUUAUUACAUUUGAAAUUUCAAUCUACGUAGUACGUGCUUCUUUGUUUAUUUAGAAAACAACAAAGUCAGACAAAGGCAAUUACACGUUUUAAUCCUAUUUGACAUUAACUGAGAACAGAAGAUAAGCUUCCAUUUGCCGUGAUUGCAAAUGGUAUUUGAAUAAUAUUGGAACGAAGAUGCCAUGGAGUAAAAUUUCACCGAUUAUGUAUUUACGGACUAAAAAUCCACCCUUUGAGUACUACAAAACAAAACACAAGAGAGCUACAACAUACCGUAGCGCGAUUUAAUUCUACAUGUAAAAAAAGAAACUCAUAAACGUAAACCACCUUCUACAUUAACCAUUGCCUACACGAGUCACGAGUUGCGAGUUUCUUCCCGAUCAUUAUCUCCGUGAGCGUAUUAUACGAUCGUUUGGCUGAUUUUUACCUAACGUGGAAAUGUUGAAUAAUUUUAAAGUGGCGAAGAAAAAGUGGCUCGAGGUGAAAAAGCAGAUGGGUUCGAAUGGGUUUACUCGUAAAAAGAAGGCGAUCGAUUCGCAUCGACUGCCAUAGUUCGCAGGAGGAUGCAAGCUUCCGUACAAGGGACGCAAUGGAUCGUAACGAUCGUGCGUGGAUCAGCGCCGGUGGAUCCUCUCGAGCUAGGCCAUCGAUCACGCAGCCGAUCGCACGGAAGAUCGCUUCUUAAGUGAUUCAUUGUUUUCUACUGAGUUUACUCGUGACUUAUAUUAUAGCUUUACACUUGUCAGUCGACCUUCCUUGUUCAACUUGGACAAAUAACGCUGUAUGAUAGGUAACGAUGGGAAGAGAACACCUACGAGGAUCGAAUUACGUCAUCGUUGCUGCGUAGUCGCGAAGAACUGUGCAACGAACAUCUUUUGUCGUCAGGUUUUGUAUAUCCCAAUCUCGAUCCUAUCUUGGAAAGCUUGAAAAAAUGGAUCUAAUAUGCUGACAAAUUUUCUUAACGACGAAAAACACGACUGAAUCGAAAAUCCUCGAAGAACGAAACGGACUUGAUAUACAGCGGCUCAUAAGCAAAAUGCUAUAAAUACUGUCCAUAAAAAAAUACACUGAUCGUUGAAAAUAUUGGAAUACAGCGUUGAAUAUAUGUAAGAUCGUCCGAUUCUUAGAAUCGAAUUUUUACCUAGACCUAGAUCUCAGGUAACAUCAAACUAAUUAACCGCCUCUACAUCGAUCUUUCAUUAAUCUCAAGCAUCCUCGACUAUUAAGCUCGUCGUCUGCAACCUACGCAAAGAAUGGAACGCCGACCAACUAGGAAGUUAUUAAAAUGCCGUAUUCAGCGGACAAGAAACUGUAACAGUCGAGGUGGACAGUGAUCGCGCGAGGCAAGAAAGGGCCUUGACAAUGGCGGAGCGAAGAAGACAGCAGAUACCGCGAAUAGAAAAACCGCAAGCUAGCAGAAAUAUCAGAGGCCCAGGUAUACCGUUUCUUUUCGUCUUGCGUAUUUAAACACCGGUAACGGUAUACACCUCGCGUUAGGAUCCAUGGACAAUUCAUCCGAGCCGUUUUCUUUGCUUCAUCCGGACGUCGUUUGCGUAAGAAUCAAUUUGGCCGUGCCUAAGUCCGUUAGAAGCGUGCAAAGGUACACGCAUGCUUGGCCACGUUGCCUGGCCGUUAACUUUGGAUGCGCGUCGGCUUUUUCAUCGCUUCCUCGAUUCCCUGGCCCGAUCGUGGAACGACGACGUCGAACGAGUUAAUUAAAGUGCCAGCGGGAAAACGAGCGACCAUGACGUGUAACACGAACACGAUAAAACAGAAGUUGCAUUGCGGAUAAAUUCCACUGGAAUGUCUAUAAAACUGUGCGAAAGGAGAAUGGCUGGAAUACUGGUGAAAAUUAGAAAUUGAUUUCUUACUUCAGAGACAGAGGUUUUGGAUGAGACGCGUAUUUUGAGAAGAAAAACGAACCACUUGUUUUCUCAAUGGCUUCUGGAAAAUGAAUACAACGUGGAGAAUGAAACAAAAGUUCGAGGACAGUGUAGAUGAUAAUUGGCGAAAGAGAACAAAGAAACCGUUUCGUCCUUGAAGAUCUCUCAAGAGUUAAUACGAUAUGACAUACACUGCUACUUAAAAUCGUUGGGAUAUCUUUUAUCUUUAAUAAUCAUUCGCUGUUCGAUGUAGAUUGCGAACUUCAAAUUACACAUCUUCGUAUUUUAGCCAUCUGUCAAUUUUAAAGCAAAUACAUUAAUAUUCUACGACUUUUAAUUAACACACCUUGAGUAUCGUUUGUUACGCGUGUUUGUUCAGCUCGUGGCUAAUUUAUUCGCACAUUAGUCUCACCUCGAACAAAAGGAUUUUUUCGCGCGAAAACCGCCGAAGCGCGGAAGAGGACCUUGAGAUCUCGCUCCGAGAUGAUUGGACGGAAUCGACGGCAUCCGUCGACGAUUCACCGUGACUAGAAAUAAGGAAAUUGGAAGGCCAGGUGGAUGAAGGAUGUGGAUGACGAACGACGAUUUCGAGAUAUUACGCGCUUGUUACGAAGGAACGAGAAUAUCUCGUGUCAGGGGAAGGAGAUUUAACUCCUUGUUAACUCGAGCCUUGAAUCUUCCAUCGGAAUCGUUUUGUUUGAAUCGGAUUGGUGAGUCGGAGGAAGUCAUCUUGAGCGAAGCAUCUUUCGGAAUGUGAAUCUCUUUCUCCUUUUCUUUCUUUUUCCUUUAAUCUCUUUUCUAUGGAAGAAUUUUCAUAAGACAUUUCAGAAUAAUAAUUGAAAGUUAUAGGGAAAAUUAUGAUAAAAAUAGUUUUGUUUAUUUGUUCAAUUUAGUGUCACUUUGCGACUAAAACGGGAUGUCUUAAUAGAAAAUCGAAAGAAGAAUAGCAUUAGUAUUUUAUUUAUUACGCGGAUUAUUGAAAAUUACUUUGAGGAGACUAAUGUGUUCCUUCGAUACGAGCUACAAUCUGAAGAACCGCAAGAGGAGUCAAAGGUCGUCGAAGAGUAAUGUGCGAAUUAUGUUACCUCCUUCCCUACUGGCAUUUUGGUCCUUGCGUCUUCUAACUGAAUAUACGCAUUAUCUCGAUAAACGAGUACAUGAUCAUCAGACGAACGAAAAAACGCAAAUUUCAGAAGCGGAAUUCGAAUCUACUGUCGCGGUCAAGUAGAGUUAUUUGAUUCAAUACGAUAUUUGGGUCAAGCUACUAUACACGUGAUGUCGAAGCUCGACUGACAUAAACAAUUCAACUACUUCGUUUCAAAGUCUACAUAAAAGAUCAAUGAUACCUGAUUUAUUAGGCUGUCUGCACUGCAGGCGAUGGAGUAUCAAAGUUACGAGGUAAAGAAACUGUCGACAGCGAAGAUAGCUCAAUCAGUUCGAGUAGUUUAGCCCGGUCAACGAAAGACCAGGUCUGAUCUCUGUGCCAGCCAAUCCUGUGACUGAUUCCUCUUCUCCCUGCAAUUUAUUAUCAUUAUACACCUGUCCUGUUUAGGCCUACACCUCUAUUAUCUCAUACAUCUUGUCUCCCACUAUUUUCUCUCAGUCAAAGUCCUAUGGAGCAUGUGCGAGGAUGAUUCUUGCGUACUCUACACUCUACUAUGUAUAGUAAUAAAAAUAUGGUGCAUGCUGCAGGGUAAACGCAGUUUGUAGUUAGCGCAAGUAUACGUUACUUAUUAACAUACACACAACCGCUGCAUACAGAGUGAUCCAUAUCUUUCAUCGCUUUGAAUAUCUUUCUUAGUUUUAGAGAUACGAACAUUUCCUACUUCGUCUCUUUCCUAU